rnacentral:rRNA from 1 species
AUUGAACGCUGGCGGCAUGCUUUACACAUGCCAGUCGAACGGCAGCGCGGGCUUCGGCCUGGCGGCGAGUGGCGAACGGGUGAGUAAUACAUCGGAACGUGCCCAGUAGUGGGGGAUAGCUCGGCGAAAGCCGGAUUAAUACCGCAUACGACCUGAGGGUGAAAGCGGGGGAUCUUCGGACCUCGCGCUAUUGGAGCGGCCGAUGGCAGAUUAGCUAGUUGGUGGGGUAAAGGCCUACCAAGGCGACGAUCUGUAGCUGGUCUGAGAGGACGACCAGCCACACUGGGACUGAGACACGGCCCAGACUCCUACGGGAGGCAGCAGUGGGGAAUUUUGGACAAUGGGCGAAAGCCUGAUCCAGCAAUGCCGCGUGUGUGAUGAAGGCCUUCGGGUUAUAAAGCACUUUUGGCGGGAACGAAAAGGACUGUGCCAAUACCACGGUUCGAUGACGGUACCCGCAGAAUAAGCACCGGCUAACUACGUG